UGGGGAANUUUCCGCAAUGGGCGAAAGCCUGACGGAGCAAUACCGCGUGAGGGAGGAAUGCCUUUGGGUUGUAAACCUCUUUUCUCAGGGAAGAAGAUCUGACGGUACCUGAGGAAUAAGUAUCGGCUAACUCCGUGCCAGCAGCCGCGGUAAUACGGAGGAUGCAAGCGUUAUCCGGAAUCAUUGGGCGUAAAGCGUCCGCAGGUGGUUUCCAAAGUCUGCUGUUAGAGACUGGAGCUCAACUCCGGAACGGCGGUGGAAACUUGGAAACUAGAGUUCGGUAGGGGUAGCAGGAAUUCCCAGUGUAGCGGUGAAAUGCGUAGAUAUUGGGAAGAACAUCGGUGGCGAAGGCGUGCUACUGGACCGUAACUGACACUCAGGGACGAAAGCUAGGGGAGCGAAAGGGAUUAGAUACCCCUGUAGUCCUAGCUGUAAACGAUGGAAACUAGGUGUGGCUUGA
rnacentral:rRNA from 1 species